rnacentral:lncRNA from 1 species
CCUGCAUCAGCUGCACAUGCUCUGGGUGGGAGCUGACAAUAUUUCCAUUUAUUCCUCAGCUUGGCUGGAGAAACAGCCCCUGAUUUCUCUGAGUCACUGCUGACAUCCUGCCCUGCUCCAGCACUUCCUCAUUCACAGGAGCUCCUUGCAGCAGCACGCCUGGAUCUCAGCACGUGCAGAGGGGACACAGGGAGACUCCACAGAGCCUUCCCUCCCUCUCAGGACAAAGCAAGUGCCUCCUAUGGAAGCUGAGCCUCCCUAAGCAGCCACCAGAGGUGACAGUCCAGGUGCUGGGACAUGUCCAUGACUGAGCUUUGCUUCAACAACAGGAAGCCACACUGUGGCAGGAACAACAGGCAGGAGAACAGCACCAGCACCUUCCCCACACAGAGCUUCCUCAGUGGGAAGAGAACCUUGGCCAAACCACUGCUUGCACCAUCAGAAUCAUCUCUGAGCACACAGAGAGGAACAAUCACUCAGGUAUUUGUACUCUUUAAUCUAUGAGAUCCUAUGAGGAUGGCAAAGGGAAGCCCAGAGUCCACAUUCAUUCCCAUCUCCACUUCUGCUCCAUUUUGGUAUUUUUUCCUGAGAAAGUACCUGAUUUAAAAUCCUCCUCAGAGAAAAUACUUUCAUUUUCCUUACAGGCUCAUUACUUUGUUGGGAGAUGUGCAGUUUUGGUGGCAUUUAGCAGUUUGUAGGAUGGUGCCUACACCUCCUGAUAAAUACAAACCCCAUCAGGUUUCUCCACUUUAUUGGCUCUCAGCUGGCUG